ensembl:lncRNA
AGUGCUGCUGAUCUGUGAGCGCCGGCCGCAGGACCUUCAGACCACACCCAGACACCUUAAUAAUCGCACUGCUCAUAACAUCAUAACACCGUCACUAUCACACAGACAGCACUUUGUGAGAAUCAGGGAAGUCUGAGGAAUUGUGCAUUUAAGGGGCUUGAAGCAGAAGACAAAUCCUCCGAUCCUGAACCACAGCGUCUUAUGAUUUUACUAAGUGUGUGUCAUAUUUAUAUGCUGAUGCAAACUUAUCUUAAGUUUUUUUUUGUAAGCAAAGGCUCAUCUCUAAAAUCAUUUUUUUUUGUUCAUUUUGUCCUAAUUUAUGAAGAAAAUGAAUUUUAUCAGUUGAAUUUUAAAUAUACUGCUUGUCAGAAUGUAAAUGCAUCUUCGUAAUCAUCACUUUUGGCAUCUAGUCAUGAAAAAAUGUUUAGUUGAAGUGAAGUAAAGCAUGAGAGGAAGCAGCUAGCGAUCGUUUAUGAAGGGCAUGUAGUGUCUGAAAUGAUUUCUUUUGUCCAGCAUUAGUCUGUUGGCUUCGGAGUUCAAGCCUAAAGUUCUUGUGCGUUUCUUCCUCUGUAACGCUGAGAACGUGAAGUACUUGAUGUUCAUUUUCAAUUACAUUUGUAAUUGUAUGAUUCACAGAAUGCAAACGUUUAGUGUAAAUGCUGAAUAUUAGUGUUGCAGCUCAUCAGAUGUCUUCAUUUGAACCACAGCCAGUGGAUUUUCUUACAGUUCUAUGCACUUACAUGUAAUCUGUGUCUAGUGUAAACAAUAAGCCUGCGUUAUUAUAUCCUCAGAAAUAACAUCGGCUCAUCACAUGGCAUCUGUUGGGUUUGUAACUUCAGGGGCCCUUAAAGGAUUUCCUUUCAACACUUGUGAACUGAAAGUCGUUUUAUUAGUUUGUUGCUGCCUCGCUGAGACAAAUCACUAUCAGUUUAUUUAUGACUUUUUCCCAGGAAGCACUUGUUUUAUGUUUGGUGAAAGACAUCAGGAUUUUGAGACUCGUUCGGUAGAUGUGCGGCACGUUAUGUGUACAGACUAUUUGUGUGUCAAUAUUUGAUGAAUGAAUGUGUGCCGAAUGCAGCCUGAUGUAGUUAGUGUUGAGAGGCUGGUUCAUGUGAUGUUGCUCGUGUCUGUGUCAGUGUUCUUCUGUUGUGUGCCAUACGUUUGUUCAGGACUAAAUACGUACAUAAAGUACAUUCAUUCAUUUUUUUUUUUUUUUCUUGAAUGAAUUAUCAUGUUUUAGCCUCAUAACAAAUUCUGUUUUUGAUUGCAUUGUUUUUCCCAAAUGUUCCAUCUUUUCAGAUCUUAAUCUCAGGGUUGAGCAGGGUUCUUUUGCGUUGUUGACAUUCUUACCCAAAAUGUAUUUAUCCUGAACUGACUAAACCCAGUUGGUCAGCGUAAUAAACUGGCUUCUUUUACUUUGCCUACGGUGCCG